AUUGAACGCUGGCGGCAUGCCUUACACAUGCAAGUCGAACGGUAACAGGUUAAGCUGACGAGUGGCGAACGGGUGAGUAAUGUAUCGGAACGUGCCCAGUCGUGGGGGAUAACUGCUCGAAAGAGCAGCUAAUACCGCAUACGACCUGAGGGUGAAAGCGGGGGAUCGCAAGACCUCGCGCGAUUGGAGCGGCCGAUAUCAGAUUAGGUAGUUGGUGAGGUAAAGGCUCACCAAGCCGACGAUCUGUAGCUGGUCUGAGAGGACGACCAGCCACACUGGGACUGAGACACGGCCCAGACUCCUACGGGAGGCAGCAGUGGGGAAUUCUGGACAAUGGGCGCAAGCCUGAUCCAGCCAUGCCGCGUGCGGGAAGAAGGCCUUCGGGUUGUAAACCGCUUUUGUCAGGGAAGAAAAGGUUCUGGUUAAUACCUGGGACUCAUGACGGUACCUGAAGAAUAAGGACCGGCUAACUACGUGCCAGCCGCCGCAGUAACAC
rnacentral:rRNA from 1 species